rnacentral:rRNA from 1 species
UACAGAGGUCCCAAGCGUUGUUCGGAUUCACUGGGCGUAAAGGGUGCGUAGGCGGUCGGGUAAGUCUGGCGUGAAAUCUCCAAGCCUAACUUGGAAACUGCGUUGGAUACUAUCCGGCUCGAGGAAUGGAGGGGAGACUGGAAUACUUGGUGUAGCAGUGAAAUGCGUAGAUAUCAAGUGGAACACCAGUGGCGAAGGCGAGUCCCUGGACAACUUCUGACGCUGAGGCACGAAAGCUAGGGGAGCAAACAGG